AUGAACGCUGGCGGCGUGCCUAAUACAUGCAAGUCGAGCGAACAGACGAGGAGCUUGCUCCUCUGACGUUAGCGGCGGACGGGUGAGUAACACGUGGAUAACCUACCUAUAAGACUGGGAUAACUUCGGGAAACCGGAGCUAAUACCGGAUAAUAUAUUGAACCGCAUGGUUCAAUAGUGGAAGACGGUUUUGCUGUCACUUAUAGAUGGAUCCGCGCCGCAUUAGCUAGUUGGUAAGGUAACGGCUUACCAAGGCAACGAUGCGUAGCCGACCUGAGAGGGUGAUCGGCCACACUGGAACUGAGACACGGUCCAGACUCCUACGGGAGGCAGCAGUAGGGAAUCUUCCGCAAUGGGCGAAAGCUUGACGGAGCAACGCCGCGUGAGUGAUGAAGGUCUUCGGAUCGUAAAACUCUGUUAUUAGGGAAGAACAAAUGUGUAAGUAACUAUGCACGUCUUGACGGUACCUAAUCAGAAAGCCACGGCUAACUACGUG
rnacentral:rRNA from 1 species